ensembl:lncRNA
GGGGGCUGUAGACGGGCCAGGGCUGCGGGCAGGCGCCAGGCGCGGGGAGAUGAAAGGCGGGCUCCGGGGGAAGGGGCUGCGCCGGGUGACCGGCUCCAGCCGCGCCGGGCGCCCCGCCCCCGCUGCCCGGGGCAGAGGCGGCUGCCCGAGCCGGAGCCGCGUUAAUUGCUCUCGGCCCCGGCACUCAGCCUGCGCGGAGCCGGGACAACCUCGCUCCAGGAGGAAUGACAAUUCGCCCUAAUGGGACAACCUCGCUCCCAGAGGAGUGACAAUUCCUCCUAAUGGGCCGCUCGUUAGCGGCCUAUUCUCCCGAACCCGGGUAUCAGAAGCGGGCAGACAAGCGGGCGCCAACGUCCGCCUGGAAUUCCACAACACCGCUCCCCCAUCAUUCCCCUCCCCACCUCCAGUCCUUCGCUGUGUGACCUCGGGCAAAAGGCUGCUCCUCUCUGAGCUCAUUUUUCUUACCUGUGCGGUGCGGAGUAGAUGGAGAAAGAGUUGGGGAGGUUGUCCCCUGCCCAAGGUCAUGCAGAACUAAGUGACCCAGUCAGCAUUUGACCCCAGGCAGCUGUGUGCUGAGUUAGUGCCACGUCGGGGAAACAGACAUCAUCCAGAUGGGUUUCUGCCCUCAAGAGUCUCCCACUCCAGUGGCAAGACCACCUCAUCAGCUACUCUAUGUGUUUGUCAAAAGGACUAUCCCAAAGUCAGAUUCAUCUUGUAGAAUUCUUUCAUGCGCAUAGUGUCGUCCUGAAGACAGUUUAUUAAACAUCUGAAUGUGUUUCCAUGUUUAAAAAUCAACGAAUUUUCCCUAGAAACCUGGCAUUCUGGCUUCUCUGUAUCAUCUGCAGACAGUCUUUGAAAGGGCAACAACAACAACAAAUCAAGAAUUUACUGUUGGAAACUAUGAGGUUUCGCCCCCAUGGGUUUUCCUCUUUAGUUUGGUUUAUUCUGUACUAAUUUUGUUCUCCUCUAACCAGAUACUUGGGGGCAAAGUUAUAAAGGCUAUAACCUCAGAC